rfam:Myotis brandtii contig295158, whole genome shotgun sequence.
GGCAGUUCUUGGGUGACACACCCUGGAAUCGGGCUCCCUCCUUUCUGGUUCCCCUCCUUUCUGGUUCCCCGUGUGUUACCUGAGAACGCA